CUCCUCGCUAGUACAGUGGCGAAUUUCUUCGCCUGACACGCGGAAAUCACAGUUCGAUUCCUCGACGGGGAGG